CCAUAUUCAUUUUACUCUAUUCUUUUACUAUUUCUGUUUUAAUUAAACUAAAUUGUUCAUUGGGAAAAGCUGCUAGAAGUUUUCUUUUCUCUGGCUUAAAGGGAUAAUAUGAGUUCACAACUCUACUAUAUUGUCAUUAAGCUCCUCUUAUUUUGUCAAAGCCCCCCAUUUCACCCUUGCACUAUGUUGGAAUUAUCAGACUGUUUUAAAGAGCCUUCACGCUCGAAUUUCCAGACCAGUGUCAUCCAAUAAACACAACACUCCCAGAGAAAUGAUAUUGCAGACACAUUUUAACACCAAAAGGAGGUGUGAAGCUGAAAUGACAAACGUGUUGAUGGCAUGUCACAGAAGAAAUGUGUGCUGACGGAGAAAUUUCAAAUUCAGAGGGAAGCAAAGAGCCUAUAUAGGAAUAGAAACAUCGCUUAUAGAAGAGAACGCUUCAGCUAUAGUGAACAUUCUUAGGGAGAUGCUGACUUGUUUGGGAUCUGUAAAAAACUAGAUUUUCCCCGAACUCCUCCAUAUACCACUACACAAAAAGCAAUGGACAGAAGUUCUGUUUUUCUAUUUUUAACCAAAUAAGGAAAAGGAUCAUUUACAAAAGGAAAAGCAUUUGCUCCAAGGGUGUUUUUGGCACCUAUCCCACUCUCCAGUACUUCAAAAUGCCUGUAGCCGUACCUCAGCAAUUUCUGACAAUCGGGGGAGAACCUAGUUUAGAAAUCAGAGCUCCACUCCAUUCCAACUCGGGCAACGUAUUACCUGGAUUCUCAUUCUCAUUCAAGGCACAUUUACCCAGAGCUUCACUAUCUAAUAACAUUUUUGCAUGAAGCUUCAUAGAAUAUAGAAUUAAAAUAUGUAAUCCUUGUUAAUCGUCUAAGCUGCCUUUAUUAAGUGCUGGGAGAUGUAGUAGCCCAGGAAUUGGAUGAUGUUCAGUAUCUAUCAAAGAAUGAAUAGAUUGUGCCGUCCCAGCAUUACUUUCCCAUUCUAAUACUUUACUUUUGGCUGAUGACUCCCCCUUCUCUUUGUCAUGAAUCAUCUGUUUUGGGGUUCAAGCUGUUGCUCUGCAUUAUAACACAGAAUUACACAUUUGUAAACUGAGAACGUUUGCUUACUGACACUUAAUAUAGAAUUGUAAUAUUUCUGUGAAUACUUUUUCCUUUAGUCCCUUCAAGGUCAGUCUGGUUCUAAACUCAGGGUACACCCAGCUUCUCCCUAAGGGUACGAAAGUGCGUUGGAAUACUUUGUCUUUGUAAAGGGUAAAAGGAUUAAGGAACGGACUGGCCAGCCUUGGUCCAUUUGAAAGAUUAAGAGGGCCCAAGGAGUCAUUUUGAACUCUCUUAAGCGUCAAGGUCCAGCCAUAUAGGAAAAGGUGCUGGCCUGUUUUGGUCUUGGC
rnacentral:lncRNA from 1 species